rnacentral:rRNA from 1 species
GACGGGGGAUGCAAGCGUUAUCCGGAAUCACUGGGCGUAAAGCGUCUGUAGGUGGUGAUGCAAGUCACUGGUGCAAAACUCUGGCUCAACCGGAGGAAAGCCAGUGAAACUGCAUGACUAGAGUGUGGGAGAGGUAGAAGGAAUUCCCGUAGUAGCGGUGAAAUGCGUAGAUACAGGGAAGAACACCGGAGGCGAAAGCGUUCUACUGGAACACAACUGACACUGAGAGACGAAAGCUAGGGGAGCGAAUUUU